rnacentral:rRNA from 1 species
AUUGAACGCUGGCGGCAGGCCUAACACAUGCAAGUCGAACGGUAACAGGAAGAAGCUUGCUUCUUUGCUGACGCGUGGCGGACGGGUGAGUAAUGUCUGGGAAACUGCCUGAUGGAGGGGGAUAACUACUGGAAACGGUAGCUAAUACCGCAUAACGUCGCAAGCCCAAAGAGGGGGACCUUCGGGCCUCUUGCCAUCGGAUGUGCCCAGAUGGGAUUAGCUAGUAGGUGGGGUAACGGCUCACCUAGGCGACGAUCCCUAGCUGGUCUGAGAGGAUGACCAGCCACACUGGAACUGAGACACGGUCCAGACUCCUACGGGAGGCAGCAGUGGGGAAUAUUGCACAAUGGGCGCAAGCCUGAUGCAGCCAUGCCGCGUGUAUGAAGAAGGCCUUCGGGUUGUAAAGUACUUUUAGCGGGGAGGAAGGGAGUAAAGUUAAUACCUUUGCUCAUUGACGUUACCCGCAGAAGAAGCACCGGCUAACUACGUG